rnacentral:ncRNA from 2 species
CCGAGUUUUCACUCCCAAACCCCUGUGAACAUACCAUUUUGUUGCCUCGGCGGUGCCUGUUCCGACAGCCCGCCAGAGGACCCCAAACCCAAACUUCCUUGAGUGAGUCUUCUGAGUAACCGAUUAAAUCAAUCAAAACUUUCAACAACGGAUCUCUUGGUUCUGGCAUCGAUGAAGAACGCAGCGAAAUGCGAUAAGUAAUGUGAAUUGCAGAAUUCAGUGAAUCAUCGAAUCUUUGAACGCACAUUGCGCCCGCCAGUAUUCUGGCGGGCAUGCCUGUUCGAGCGUCAUUACAUCCCUCAAGCCCCCGGGCUUGGUGUUGGGGAUCGGCGAGCCUCAGCGCCCGCCGUCCCCUAAAUUUAGUGGCGGUCACGCUGUAACUUCCUCUGCGUAGUAGCACACUUAGCACUGGGAAACAGCGCGGCCACGCCGUAAAACCCCCCAACUUUUGAACGUUUGACCUCGAAUCAGGUAGGACUACCCGCUGAACUUAAGCAUAUCAAUAAGCGGAGGAA